rnacentral:rRNA from 1 species
UACGUAGGGUCCGAGCGUUGUCCGGAGUUACUGGGCGUAAAGCGCGCGCAGGCGGCGGUGCUGGCCCGGCGUGAAAGCCCCCGGCUCAACUGGGGAGGGUCACGCGAUACUGGUCGACUCGAAGGCAGGAGAGGGUAGUGGAAUUCCCGGUGUAGUGGUGAAAUGCGUAGAUAUCGGGAGGAACACCAGUGGCGAAGGCGACUACCUGGCCUGUUCUUGACGCUGAGGCGCGAAAGCUAGGGGAGCAAACGGG